rnacentral:lncRNA from 1 species
UGUUCCCUAAUCUUGGGAGAGGAAUGAAGGAAUGAAAAGAGUUGGCAUGCGAGAUGGGUAAGAUGGAGCCCCAAUCUCAUGGGAGCUUUUGAUCUACACGGGCACAAGUGAGAUGUUAACAAACAUAACACAGAGAGUGGAAGAAGUGGAGCUCUAAGGAAGCUGGAGUCAAGGCUGAGUGCAGUUGCUUUGAUCUGAAUACUGGCCCCAACUUAAUUUGGGAUUCCAAUACAGAGGAAAGUUCACCAUAGCUUCAUCCAGAAAGAGGCAUCACAAUACACUUCUGAAAAAAAUAAUUAACCUCACUGGUAAGUCACUGU